UCCUCAGAGGCCGGGAGUCAGCAGUUU
rnacentral:piRNA from 1 species